rfam:Triticum aestivum genome assembly, contig: Triticum_aestivum_CS42_TGACv1_scaffold_000375_1AL
UUUGUACUCCCUCCGUUCGGAAUUACUUGUCUCGGAAAUGGAUGUAUCUAGAACUAAAAUACGUCUAGAUACAUUCAUUUCUGCGACAAGUAAUUCCGAACGGAAGGAGUAAAAU